UCACUCUCUAAACAACAACUUCGUGGCACUCAUUUGGGAUUUUCUCCAUGUCUUACUUUGAAGGCUCAGCAGCAGUGAUUAAAUAUGUGGACUACUGCUUAGCUACAGUUUUCCUUCCAUAAUGCUAUAAUUGAAUGAAGCUUGGAAAUGCAGAGAGAGAAAGACAAGAGUUAUAUAAAUAACUAAAGAAGUGAGGAGAGAAAAGGGAAAGAACACUUUAAAGAAUCGAAAGGGAAAAGGAAUCUAUGUGCAAUUUGAUUUUUAAGGAUAAUCUUCUCCAUACUUUUACUGAUGACUGCAGAGACACCAACAGGCCUUAUAAUUUCCAGGGUCAUUCUUCUUGCUCUUCUUGAAAACUGGAACAAGUCUCCACCUGAUCAGUUGGAACUUAAAAGAAUAGCAAAAGUCUCUUUCUUUUUUAAGGCACUGUAAACAGCACUAUUAACAAGAGCAGGGUUUUGAGGAUCUGAAUAUAAGCUGUGGAUGCUGCCUUGAUGAAAAGAAGAGAAAAGCAGAAAGACCCACUGGAUACAAGCCAGGUUGAAGAUUGGCCUUCUUCUAUAGAAGAUCAACACAUAGAUCUGGAGAAGGUAUUCAAUUGUUACUAGCACAAGUGAGGAGGGAGCAAGCUUCCUCCCCUUAUCUGCUCCACCUGUAGAACCCACAGCUCCUAAGAGCUGAGGAGUUUAUGAAUCUACUCCUCAUACUGCCAUGUACAAAAUAUAUGUGGGAAAUCUUGCUCCUUUUUCUCUUGCAUAAGUAUGAAGUAACCCUGUGAAAACAAAUAAGAUUACUUGUUGUUUACAUGUGUAAAAAUAAAAGGACAAUUUUGCUGAUCAAGUUAUAUCUGAAGACUAGUGUUGUAUAAAGGAUUUAUUUACUUGUAUUUUUAUGCUAGCCAGACAAAAAUAUCAACAACAAUAAAAAAAUUCUUUUGGUCUUCCCAGAAUUAAAAUUU